rnacentral:rRNA from 1 species
UACGGAGGGUGCAAGCGUUAUCCGGAUUUACUGGGUUUAAAGGGUGCGUAGGUGGAUAAGUAAGUCAGUGGUGAAAUCUCCGGGCUUAACCCGGAAACUGCCAUUGAUACUAUUUGUCUUGAAUACUUUGGAGGUAAGCGGAAUAUGUCAUGUAGCGGUGAAAUGCUUAGAUAUGACAUAGAACACCAAUUGCGAAGGCAGCUCGCUACACAUAUAUUGACUCUGAGGCACGAAAGCGUGGGGAUCAAACAGG